rnacentral:rRNA from 1 species
GAUGAACGCUGGCGGCGUGCCUAAUACAUGCAAGUCGAGCGAACAGACGAGGAGCUUGCUCCUCUGAUGUUAGCGGCAGACGGGUGAGUAACACGUGGAUACCCUACCUAUAAGACUGGUAUAACUUCGGAAAACCGGAGCUAAUACCGGAUAACCUGUUGAACCGCAUGGUUCAACAGUGAAAGACGGUCUUGCUGUCACUUAUAGAUGGAUCCGCGCCGCAUUAGCUGGUUGGUAAGGUAACGGCUUACCAAGGCAACGAAGCGUAGCCGACCUGAGAGGGUGAUAGGCCACACUGGAACGGAGACACGGUCCAGACUCCUACGGGAGGGAGCAGUAGGGAAUCGUCCGCAAUGGGCGAAAACCUGACGGAACAACGCCGCGUGAGUGAAGAAGGUCUUCGGAUCGUAAAACUCUGUUAUGAGGGAAGAACAAAUGUGUAAGGAACUAUGCACAUCUUGACGGUACCUAAUGAGAAAGCCACGGCUAACUACGUG